AGGUAUGUGUUGGAAGGAUAGAACUUGUGGUGAGGCAGUUCCCCACAUCACCCAGCGUGUGGGCAAAGACCGAGAGAGCGUCAGCUUCAGAAGGCAGCUGAGAAAGGAGCCUGUGAAUGCCCAAGGUACAGAUAUUGCUUAAGUAGCCUAGCACAGGUCUUUAAAUCUGGAAGAAAAAGACCUGUGUAUUUACACUGGUGAACAGAAGUCUAAGAAUUUAUGAAAUCUGAAGUUUAGGAGCAAAACUCUGUGGCUGCAAUUUUGUGGAAGAAAAAGCUGCUUCCUUAUUGGAUCGCGUCUUAGCAGGACUGAGUCUGUGAUGUGAAUGCCCGGAGCGUCAUCCCGCUGCACGUAACCCAACAAUUCACUUCGGAUUAGUGUGUUCCUUAAGAUCCACUUCUACAAUCCUAUUGUCUCUGUUGAUGAGGGUUGAACUAUCCUCUCCCCUUUCAAUGGCAGGCCCUCACUUUCUGCCCAAAACAACCACCCCAGUGAGUGAGGAACCAGCGAACUCCAGCAAUAUCAAUGAUGAUUACUUUGGGUCGACCGAUAUGGAUUACUCGGAGGAUGGCUGGGCCUUUCCAUGCUCCUUGUGGGAGGAUCAUUAUGAGUUGGAAUUGACUCAACGGCAAUUGUUUGGAUGGUUACAAGGGCAGAGCAAUCAAGGCCAGAAGACCUCUGGAGGGGAUCUUGAUGAAGGUGGAGGGACCACAGGUGCUAAAGAUGGGUCACCUGCCAUCAGGGACACUGAAAGCUGUUCCCACCAGGAGAUGCUCGAGGGGCAUCUGGAUGUGAGUGGUAAAGGGCUCCCCAUUCUCUUCAUCUACCCCAGUCCUCUCCCGCUCCACUAAGGACUUCGGGUUUCCUCGUGCACCCCUCUGUUAACAAACCUGCUCCUCUCUAUCAGUCCGCCCAGCUCCCCACAUACCCAUGUAAUGACAGGGUGGAAAUCCAAUUUUCAAGGCAUUUGGUUUCUAAGUCACCAUGGUUUCCAGCUAAUUUUGCCUACGCCAUUUUAGUUCUUUUUUUCUUUCCUCUGAUUUGAACAGUUCUUACCAUUUAUUGGAAAGACGAAUAACCAGUGCAUUUUUCCAGGCAGCUAGCUCUUGGAAUUGUAUGACCCUGGUGUUUGAAAUCAAAGAAACAAAAUGUUUUAGAAUAAAAUAAAAGCUGUAAUUGCUUUUCACGAGUAGUGGGUAAAUUCCAGAACAAGGGGCUUGAUGUUACAUAGCUGGGUUGGCCACCAUCGGCUUUUCUGGAGAAAAGACCUGGCGAUCUGCUCCCAUAAAGACUAUAGCCUAGGAAACCCUAUGGAGCUGUUCUACUCUGUGCAAUAGUAUCACCGUGAGUCAAAAUCAACUCGAUGCCAACUGGACUAACCUGGUAGAUUUACAACUAACAUAAAGAUUGAUUGUUUAGAUCCAGCCACGGCUCCACAGGAGAAAAGACCAGGCAAUCUGCUCCUGUAAAGAGUAUAUAAAAACAGCCUAGGAAACUCUGACGGGCAGUUCUACUCUGUCCUAUAGGGUCGCCAAGCAAUGGCCGAUAUAGACCAUUUACACACAGUGAGCCGACUGGAUAUCUCCAUAAGUCCUGCCAAGCCUGUAGGGUAGUGAAGUGGUUUGGGGUUGGGCCUUGGUCACAAAGAGGGAACGGCAGUGCUGGGCCUUCUCUUCCUGACAUGCCCCCACCCCAACACACACACCAUAUUCUCCCUGCUCUGAAUCUCUCCAAUGGAGGGCUGCCCAGCACUUGGGAACUAUGGGGAAAAUCUCUUGGGAGCGAUCUCAACAGCCUUCCAUUACAUGAGAAAUUAUUGCCGACGUAGAGUGAAAAUGGCAGUAGAAUAAAGACUCGAUUUCCUCGUUGACUCAACAUGAUCCGUGAAGCAACCUGUCUCUCCUGAAUGAACAUCUGGGAGGAACUGGGAUGGCCUUAUCUACGUGCUAGAUUGACAGAUUUCUUCAUGGUCCCAGCCACCACCACCUGGCGGCCAGCAACGAGAUUCCAAGGGAGGAAGUGGACGUAAGCAGAGCUGGCGACGAUGGCGGCCACGCCGCUCUUUGUCUGACUCUGCUUUUAGGCUCUUUUUGUACGACUUUUGGAGCCCCUAGGUGGUGCAAACAGUUCAGCGCUUGGCUGCUAACCAAAAGGUUGCAGGUUUGAGUACACCCAGAACAGCCUUGAAAGAAAGGCCUGGUGGACCAUUUCUGAAAAAUCAGCCAUUGAAAACCCUACGAAGCGCAGUUCUACCGUGACACACACGGGGUGCCAUCAGUCAGAACCAACUCGACGGCAACUGGUUUUUGUCUGGAUUUAUCCUUGACUCCCAGUGCCCAGAACCUUUUAAAAAAGUGUUCCAUGUUGUUAUAUACUUCUUGAAUAAAAUAUAUAAAAGUAAAAUCCUUUAGCAUUUUUUGUUCAUGUGUUUUGCAUUUUAUAAGUUUUCUUUUGGCUUAAAAUAUUCUCCAAAAAUUGCCUUAAUUCCCCUUAUCUGUAGAUGGGGUGUUGUUUCAUUCAUUGCUUACAAAGAAGCAGAGUGAAGCCCAUCAGUUGAGGGUAGAGAAUUCAGUGUUUAUAUAAUCACGGAACUUUCUGUUAACUGCCGUCAAGUUGGCCCCCAACUCAUGGUGACCCCCGUGCACAACAGAAUAAAACUCUUCCUGGUCCUGCAUCAUCCCCAUGAUCAGUUGUGGAUCGGACUGUUGUGAUCCACACAGUUUUCAACGGCUGAGUUUUUGGAGGCAGGUUGCCAGGCCUUUCUUCCUAGUUGCCUCCACUGACAGAUGGGCAGGGGCUGUGCAUGAGGUGCACUGGCUGAGAAUGGAACCCGGGUCUCCUGCAUGGAAGGUGGGAAUUCUACCAUGGAACCCCCAACAUCCCCGGAUCAUGAAACCUUUUAAUGCAAAGCUUCUCAAAGGAUGGCUGUGGCAUAGAACACACUUUGGGGAAGCCUGCUUUAUCCAUUUAAUCUUUAUGAGAACCGUACUGGGUACAUGCCCUGACCCUCGUUUAAUAGGCACGGAAACGGGGAGGCUAUGUUACCUGCUUCAGGUUGUACGUUCUGAGCCGUAAAUGGAGGAGCUGGGAUUUCAGCCUAAGAAUGCCUGACUUCCUGCAGUGUCUGCCCCAGAGUGCUGCUCUUAUUUUUAAUCCUUGAGAAAUUCAAGACCUUGACUUCAGUUGCUCUCUAGUUACUAAAAGUUCACACUUCAGAGCAUCUUGCUGAGCUUCUUCUGGGUCACUGGACUUGGCUGGCCUUUCAGUGCCUAUAAAGGACCUUACACUGGAUGAUGUUUCUAAAAGUUUCCACAAGGUGCACAGGAUGCUUGGGGUGGGUGAGAGGCAGUGCUGGCAGGAAGUACCUGUUAGAACAGGCGCCUGGGCUCUUCCACUUCCCUGGGCUGAGCUUCUGAGGCUGUUCUCCUGCCAGCCCUUUUGUGGACGUUUUCCUGUCAGGGUCUGUAGUAAAUUCGCAUCUGCUUUCUUUAGUAUAUUUCAAUUCUGUCCCAGUCUUCUUCUCUGUGUGGGUGACACUACGUGGAAGAGAAGACGACAUGCAAUUCCCAGGAUGGAUGGCCUGCACACACAGGGGAGGAGGUGGUGGCGUAUAAGCCAUGCGUGGUGGAGAAGCAACAGUGAAAUGCCCAGGAAUUGGGCCAGCCAGUUGUUUACCUGCUGGUAUGUUAAAAUCAGCCAUCUGGGAGUAUUUACACCACAGAAAUUGGCAGAUACUACAAAUCAGAAGUGGUCAAGGAUUUCAUUUUACUUGGAUCAACAAUCAAUGCCCAUGGAAGCAGCAGUCAAGAAAUCAGACGACGUAUUGCAUUGGGCAAAUCUACUGCAAAAGGCCUUUUCAAAGUGUUGGUAUUUUCAAUUGCCUCUUAGGCGUGUGAAAGUUGGACAAUGAAUAAAGAAGACUGAAGGGGAAUUGAGGAAUUUGAACUGUGGUGUUGACCAAGAAUAUUGAAUAUACCGUGGACUGCCAACCAGCAACUAACCUGUUGCUGUUGAGUCGAUUCUGACUCAUAGCGACCCCUACGGGACUGAGUUGAACAGCCAUAUAAGGUUUCCAGGGAGUAGCUGGUGGAUUGCAACUGCAGACCUUUUGGUUAGCAGCUGUCGGUCCUAACCACGGUGCCACCAGGGCUCCCUGGACUGCCAGAAAAACAAAUAAAUCAGCCUUGGAGGAAGUAUAGCCAGGAUGCUCCUUAAAAGCAAGGAUGGCAAGGCUUUGUCUCACUUACUUUGGACAUGUUUUCAGGAGGGACCAAUCACUGGAGGAGGACAUCGUAGUUGGUAAAGUAGAAGGUCAAUGAAAAAGAGGAAAACCCCCAUGAGAUAGACUGACACAGUAGCUGCAACAACGGUCUUAAACACACUAACGGCUGUGGAGAUGGCACGGGAUGGGGCAAACUUUAUUCUGUUGUAUACGGGGUGGCCCUGAGUGGUAGGGGAUUCGACAGCAAUUAACAACAAAUCAGAGCUGCUUCUGCUGCCGCUCUUUCUCCUUCUUCUCCUUCACCUCCUUCUCCUCCUCCUCUUCCCCUUCCACCUUCUCCCCUCUCCCUUCCUCCUCCUCCUUCUUCUUUCUUUCCAGAGAACUGGUUUACCAGCUUACCAGUGUACCACCACUGGAUAUAAGGAAAAUCAAUAUGUAAGUAAGCAAAUACAGACCCAAAGAGAAUGGUAACAGGAGUAGAAAGCUGGGAGAUGAGAGCUUAGUGAAGGGCACUGGACCAAGCCAGGCAGCCUCAGCUCACGUCUCAGUCUUGUUGUUUAGAAACUGUGUGGUCAGGCCAAACCGCUGAGCCUCUCAGAGCAUCAGUUUGCUCAGCUGUAAACGGGCUUGUAAUACCUUCCCUGCUUACCUCACAGGUUUUGUAAACAAUAACUUAUUAUUAUCACCUCUACAUUAUCGUUGUUGUUAUUGUUAGGUGCUGUGGAGUCAGUUCUGACUCACAGCGAUCCUGUGUACAACAGAACAAAACACUGCCCCGUCCUGCACCAUCCUCACAGUCAUUGUUAUGCUUGAGCCCAUUGCUGCAGCCACUGUGUCAGUCCAUCUCUUUGAGAGUACCACGACGUUGGUGCAUUUAAUAUUUUGGAGGGUGGUGGCUUAUGGAAGCACAACGCGUGUGUGCUGUGUAAGUGUUGACUGUCUACACCCUAGUCAACUGGCCCGAUAUAGGGGAGGUUUGUCAGGUCACCAUGGAGGAGGGCUGCUCAAGAAAGGACUCCUGCUCAUGAUUUUGGCCUUGAAGCGUCCAAGAGGGCAGGGUUAGUAAGCCUUGGACAGACGUGAAGGACGAGAACGGGUAGGCAGCAGUUCCUGUGUAAAGGCAGCUUUAGAAGAUGCUUGGAGGAGGGAGGAGAGAUGCCCCCACCCACGGGGUAUGAGGAGAGAUGAAGUAGUAUUUCACCCUUCCUUGCUCCUCUGUUUUAUGAUCACAGCCCACGCACUAUCAUCCAUAAGGGUCCCCUUUUCAUUGAGAGGUAUUGGUGGGGGGGGUACCUGUGGAGAGAUGUUAUCACCUCCUGGGGGUAUAGGAGGGAAACAUGGGCACCACCCUGCCUGGGGGAUGGUAUGUUACCACAGUGCUGAGGGGUCCCCCCACUUUCCCAGGGAGCUUUCCUUUUGCAAAGUCCUUUCCUGUGUAGUUCAGUCAUCUUGACUUUGCCCUGCAGAAGGUGCCAUUCUUUUGGCUUUUUGGAUGAAAAAAAUCAACUCCGUGUGGUACUGUGCCACGUCCCACUGCUAAAGAGCAGAGCUGAAGGAAACUCAGGCCAAGGCCUGAAGCCACCAUGUCUGUCACAUGUCAAACUGUGGUGGCUUCUGUGUUGUGAUGCUGGAAGCUAGGCCACCAGUAUUUCAAAUACCAGCAGGGUCACCCAUGGUGGACAGGCUUCAGUGGAGCUUCCAGGCUAAGACAGGCCAGGAAGAAAGGCCUGGCAAUCUACUUCAGAAAGUCAAGCAUAGAAAACCCUAUGGAUCCCAAGAAAAUACUGUCCGAUACAGUGCUGGGAGAUGAGCCCCCUAGGCUGGAAGGCACUCAAAAUAUAUAACGGCAACCACAGGGGACUGGAUCAUAUCCAUGAUCGCGAAGACGGCACGAGACUGGGAAAUGUUUCACUCUGUGCUCCAAAGGGUUUUCAAUGGCUGGUUUUUCAGAAGCAGUCAGCGGACCUUUCUUCCGAGGCACCCCUGGAUGGACUCGAACCUCAAACCCAGUUAGCAACUGACUGCGUUAACCAUUUGCAUCACCCAGGGACUCCCGGUAACAGUUAUUCGGCAGAAUCCACUUAUCCCAUGGCCUCUGGUCUCAAUAAGAACCAGGGUGUAAAAAUUAAAAUUGUGUGACAUCUCCAGGCAUUAGAGUGUGGUGUGGUGAUGCCAUGAAUGAGUCAUUGGCUCAGUCAUGCCUUCCCAGGCCUCAGAUACAGAGAUUUCUUAUUCCCAAUCUCAGAUACAGGGGUCUCCUCUUCCCAGUACUACUCUGUCACAUCGGGACUGUCAUAUGGGGUUGCCACGAGUCGGGGGUCAACUCGAUGGCAAUGGAUUUGGUUAGAUUGGUUGGGAUGCACUCUGCUCCUGGUGCUGCUUUCGUGGUGGUAUGAGGUCCCCAAGUCUCUCUUCUCUCUUCUCUCUUUUAUAUCUCAAGAGAGACUGACUUAAGACAAAAUCGAAUCUGGUAGACCUCGUCAGUGUAACUGCCACUAAUCUAUCUCAUUAUCGUGAUGGCAGGAUUCGCCACACCUGGGAAAAUCUCAUCAGAUAGGAAAAAGGUGGAAAUCACACAAUACUGGGACUCGCGGCAUAGGCAAAUUGAUACACAUAUUUUCGGGGGACACAGUUCAGUCCAUGAUUUUUGAUGGAGAAAUGACGAGAUGAACAGUCAGAAUUCAAAAACAGCUGUAGCACGAGUGGAAGAAGGGAGAGAACUGUACCCCUCAAGUUAAAAUUUGGGCUUCUCCUUAGUAGGUAUGCUGAAAUUCAGAGAGGGCUUGAAUCUGCCAGGCUCACAGGUAACGUCGAGUCCCUGCUGUCUUACAAGAAAUGAGUCAUGGGAGAAAAGAAACUGAAGAUUGAUACACACAGCAAAAUGGUUGUGGUUCCUGAGACCCAGCGUCUGCACACACUUUCCUUCUGAGUCAUUUCCCUGUUCGGAGAAAAUCAUUUGGGGAAGAAGAACCUAUUCGUUCCACGCUCUCCCAAGAAGAAAACCACUCGACUGCAGUAUGGCAGGUGUUUCUUUAGUCGGAGCAAAUGUGAAAGAAAUGUUUAGGAUAACGAACGGGCUGUUAUCAUGAUCCUACCCGCGAACAUGCAAACAUAUUCCCCCCUUUCCCGGGUGUGUGGAGUGAAAGUUGAGUCAGAUAAAAUCUUUACAAAAGGUCCAAGAAGAAUUUACUAGAAAGAGGUAGUGAUAACCAACCUUCAACUCAACAGAAUCUUUUCAGGGUCCAGUUCGUGGAGGCCCUGCUGUGUGCUCUGUUCUGAGCUGAGGGUGUGCAGGUGGAAACUGUCCCCAAAGCCUGGCUGGGGGUAAAUGAAGACAAGGGAACAAAAGCAACGAUUUAACAAUAAACCAGUUGUCGUCACAUCGACUAGACUCCUGGCAUCCCCACGUGUCAGAGUAGAGCUGUGCUCUAGAGGGUUUUCAAGGACUGAUUUGUUGGACUUUGACGGCCAGACCUUUGAUCUGAGGUGCUUCUGGGCAGACCUGAAGCUUCAGGCUUUUGGCUGCGCGUUAACUGUUAACUGCACCACCCAGGGACUCCAAUUUAACACCAGCAAACUCUUAACCAACCCUGUUACUGUUGAACUGGGCUGUUGUACGCAGGGUCACUAUGAGUUAGAGCCGACUUGGCGGUACCUAAUGACAACGACCAAGUCUUGUUUACUGAAUGUCUAUCACGUGCCAGACUCUGUGCUAAUCAUCUUUGUCUUGUUUUAAUUGGUCCCCACAAUAAUCCCACGAGAAAGGCUUUCAUUAUUCUCAUUUUACAGGUGAGGGAAACUCAGAGCAGACAGGUGACUCAUCCAAGGUCACAAAGCUGGGAAGUGAUGGGGCGGCAUCUCGUCUCCGAAGACUGUGCUCUUGGUGGCCAGCCCGGUGACUUGGCCCUAGCUGCACACUGGAGUUAACGAGGGGGCUUCAGAGAAUGCCGGUGCCCACGCCCUUCGCAGAUUCGGGGUUGGGCCCAGGUAUCUGUGCUUUUUACAAGUUCUGGGAUGUCCUAACCAAGCCAGUUGUUGUUGAGCCGAUUCUGACCCAUGGCAACUCUGAAGUGUGCAUAGUAGAACUGCUCCACAGGGUGUUUGUGACCGUGACCUUUCAGAAUCAGAUCACCAGGCCUUUCUUCCGAGGUGCCCCUGGGUGGGUUUGAACAGCCAGCCUUUUGGUUAGCAGUCGAGUGCUCAAUCAUUUGCCCCACCCUGAUGCCCUAGGCCUGCAGUGCUGUGUUAGGCACCCUGGGGAGCGGAGGAGGGCCAGCCACUCCCCAGGAGACUCGGCAUCUCCGCCGAGAGUCUCAGAGUGGCUGCGAUACUGUGUGGAGACUUUCCCUAAAGAUUAGCAGGAUUUGCUAGGCUAAAAAUUUGAGCCGGGCAGAGGUGGAGAGUACCUAGCUGAGCCUUCCUGGGGAAAGAGCAAGCUCAAUGCAAACAGCCACAAGGGGGCGCACACGCUCCAGAGGGCCUGAGGCCCCCAUAACCCCCGCUAGGGCAGCACUGGGCUGGGUUUUUCCCCACCGAGGGCUGCCCUGCUCAGUGAUGACUGUCAGAUCACUGGUGAUUUCACAUCCCACGGGGGUUACGGGUCUACACGUCCAAGAUCAGCAAACUCGUUAAGAAACACCUUGUGGAUACGUCAUAUGUGGUCAAGUCAGGAAUGCUCAUAAGACAUUAGGCUGAGUGAGAUAAGCCGGACACAAAGGGACACACGUGUUACCCCACGUGUAUAAGACAGCUACAACAAGCAAAU